UAUCGUAGGGGAGGCAGCAGUAAGGAAUAUUGGUCAAUGGGCGGAAGCCUGAACCAGCCAUGCCGCGUGCAGGAUGACUGCCCUAUGGGUUGUAAACUGCUUUUGUCCGGGAAUAAACCUCCUUACGUGUAGAGAGCUGAA
rnacentral:rRNA from 1 species